UCAGAUACGACUUGCUUUCAAGGAUUUUUUGGAUUUGCUGAUAUGCAACCAAUCUUACGCCAUUUUUGUGUGUAUCAUUUGAAUGCCCCUGGCCAGGAGGAAGGAGCUCUUCAGUUGAGACCAGAGCAAGAUGCCCUUGGUAAUCCUGAAACCCUUAAUGGGAACAGCUAUUCUUAUCCUACCAUGGAGCAACUUGCUGAUGCUGUCCACCAUGUUGUUGAGCAUUACAAGUAAG
rnacentral:lncRNA from 1 species